rnacentral:rRNA from 1 species
AACGCUGGCGGCGUGCCUAACACAUGCAAGUCGAACGCGAAAGGGGCUUCGGCCCUGAGUAGAGUGGCGAACGGGUGAGUAACACGUGGGUGAUCUACCUUCGAGUGGGGGAUAACGUUCCGAAAGGAACGCUAAUACCGCAUGACGUCCUGCGUUUAAAGACCUGGACACCAAAGCCGGGGACCGCAAGGCCUGGCGCUUGAAGAGGAGCCCGCGUCCGAUUAGCUAGUUGGUGGGGUAACGGCUCACCAAGGCGACGAUCGGUAUCCGGCCUGAGAGGGCGGACGGCCACACUGGGACUGAGACACGGCCCAGACUCCUACGGGAGGCAGCAGUGGGGAAUUGUUCACAAUGGGCGCAAGCCUGAUGACGCAACGCCGCGUGGGGGAUGAAGGUCUUCGGGUUGUAAACCCCUGUCGAAUGGGACGAAAGACCCUCGGGCUAAUCUCCGCGGGAGUGACGGUACCGUUAAAGGAAGCC